GACGAACUGUCCUAACGUUGUUCGGAAUCACUGGGCUUAAAGGGUGUGUAGGUGGCGCGCUAAGUCGGGUGUGAAAUUUCGGAGCUUAACUCCGAAACUGCAUUUGAUACUGGCGUGCUUGAGGACUGGAGAGGAGACUGGAAUUCAUGGUGUAGCAGUGAAAUGCGUAGAGAUCAUGAGGAAGACCAGUGGCGAAGGCGGGUCUCUGGACAGUUCCUGACACUGAGACACGAAGGCCAGGGGAGCAAACGGG
rnacentral:rRNA from 1 species